GACGAACGCUGGCGGCGUGCUUAACACAUGCAAGUCGAACGAAGUGGCGAACGGGUGAGUAACGCGUAAUCAACCUGCCCUUCAGAGGGGGACAACAGUUGGAAACGACUGCUAAUACCGCAUACUGUAGGAGGGGAUUGCGUCUGAUUAGCUCGUUGGAGGGGUAACGGCCCACCAAGGCGAUGAUCAGUAGCCGUUCUGAGAGGAGGAACGGCCGCAUUGGGACUGAGACACGGCCCAGACUCCUACGGGAGGCAGCAGUGAGGAAUCUUCCGCAAUGUACGAACGUCUGACGUGGCAACGCCGCGUGAGUGAUGACGGCCUUCGGGAUGUAAAGCUCUGUUAAUCGGGGCGCGGUAUCGGAAUAGAAAGCCACGGCUAACUACGUGCCAGCCGCCGCGGUAAUAC
rnacentral:rRNA from 1 species